CACGCCGUAAACGAUGAGUACUAGGUGUAGGGGGUAUCGACCCCCCCUGUGCCGCAGUAAACACAAUAAGUACUCCGCCUGGGGAGUACGACCGCAAGGUUGAAACUCAAAGGAAUUGACGGGGGCCCGCACAAGCGGUGGAGCAUGUGGUUUAAUUCGAAGCAACGCGAAGAACCUUACCAGGUCUUGACAUCCCGAUGACCGCUCUAGAGAUAGAGUUUUCCCUUCGGGGACAUUGGUGACAGGUGG
rnacentral:rRNA from 1 species